GCUGAAUUCAGUGCUAUUACAAGUAGUGACAAUAGAAAAGCAUCAUCGGCAGAGUGUCUGCCUCCAGGUGGGAAAACACCACAUGAUCUAUGACAUCUCUUCUGUUUCUGUAAGCCAAUACCAAAGACUAAAGGCUAUGCCAUGGAUUUACGUGCAGUUACACGAUGAUUCAUUCUAAGGUAAGUCAGCUGUCAAUCUGAGAAGACACACAAGCAACUUCCAAGAGAUGUUCAUGUGGCAAGGGAUUAAGGAUUUCUCCCAACAGUCAAGUGAAUGCAGCAUCUUAGAAGGACAACUUCCAGCCCCAGUCAAACCUUCAGAAGAUGAUACCCUAGCUGCCAACUUAACUGCACCCUCAUGAGAGACCUUAAGCUAGAACCAACCAGCUAAACUGCUCUUACAUCUUCAUCCAAAGAAACUGGGGUGAGAGACAAGAGGUGUUCUCCAUGUAGCUGGCUGUGUAUAUGGCUGCUCUGUAAACCGGCAAUCCACUCAGCACACAAGACAAUGUGAAAAGAAGCAUAUGGAGUUUCUGGUCCAGGGAUCAGAUCCAAGGCACAGUUGGAAGCUUAGCCAAAACUGCAGCAAUGCUAGAUCCCUAACCCACUGUGCCAAGCUGGGGAUGGAACCUGCAUCCCAGUGCUCCCAAGAUGCUGCAGAUCCUGUUGCACCACAGCAGGAGCUCUGAUAACUGUUUACUGAAUGAAUGAUACCUUUAAGAAACAGUCUUGAUUGAGACAUCAAACUAGGAAACUGUGGAUACCAAGGAGCAGAAUGAGGGUUACUGCAGAUAAGUAAAAAGAGCCUCAAAUGACAAGAUUUCAUCUCUUUUGUGCCUGAGUGCUGUUUCAUCAUACACUGUUUCUUCUUUAUCCAUUCAUACAUAUCGCCCCUAAUGUAAAUAAUGGUGUGACGAACAUAGGGAUGCAUGUAUCUUUUCAAAUUAUGUUUUCAUAUUCUUUGGAUAAACACCCAGAAGAGGAACAGCUGGAUUAUAUGACAGUUUCAUUCUUAAUUAUGUGAGGAACGUACAUACUAUUAUCCAUAGUGGCUGUGCGAGAAUUUACAUUCCCACCAACAAUAUAUGGGAAUUCCCUUUUUUUCACAUCCUUUUCAACGUUUUAUUUUUUUGCCUUGUUGAUAACAGGCAUGCUAACAGGCAAGGCGUGAUAUCCCAUUAUAGUUUUUAUGUGCACUUCCCUUAGGAAUGUGGAGCAUCUUUCAUGUGCCUAUUGGCCACCUGUAUGUUUCUGUAUGUCUUCUUUGGAAAAAUAGCUAUUCAGAUCCUCUGCCCAUUUUAAAAUCAUGUUGUUUGAUUUUUUUAUUAUUGUGCUGUAUUUAUUAUUGAGUUUUAUUAUUUAUAUAUGUUGGAUAUUAACUUCAUAUCAGGUACAAGAUUUGCAAAAUCUUCUCCCAUUUAGUAGGUGGUCUUUUCAUUGCGUUGAUGGUUUCCUUUGCUGUGCAAAAGCUUUUUAGUUUGAUGCAGUCCCGCUUAUUUUUUCUUUUUCAUCCCUUGCCCAGGGUAACAUAUCUAGAAAGAUAAUUCUAAAACUGAUGCUGGAGAGUGCAUUGCCUAUGUUUUCUUCUAGGAGGUUAUUAUGGUUAUAGAUUUUACAAUCAAGUCUAAUCUAUUCUGACUUGAUUUUUCAGGAUAGUGUAAAAUAGUGGUCUAGUUUCAUUCUUUUUGCAUGUGGUUGUCUAAUUUCCUCAACACCAUUUCUUUAGGAGACUAUAUUUUCUCCAUUGUAUGUUCUUUGAUCUUUUGCAUAAAUUAAUUGUCCAUAUAAAUGUGAUUUUAUUUCUGGGCUCUCAAUUCUGUUCCAUUGAUCUCCGUGUUUUUUCUUGCUGCUAACAUGAUGUUUUGACUACUAUAGAUUGGUAUUACAAUUUGAAAUCAGGGAGUGUGGUACCUUCAGAUUUGUUCUUUUUUCUCCAGAUUGUUUUGGCUAUUUGUGGUCUUUUCUGGUUCCAUAUAAAUUUUAGGAUUUUUUUGUUCUACCUCUGUAAAAAGUGACAUUUGGAUUUUGAUAAGGGUUGCACUUAAUCUGUAGAUUGCUUUAGAUAACAUUAACAUUUUAACAAUGUUAAUUCUUCCAAUCCCCAAGAAUGAAAUAUCUAUUUUAUUUGUGUCUUCUUUAAUUUCUUUCAAGAAUAUCUUAUAGUUUUCAGUGUACAGGUCUUUUGCUGUCUUGGUUAUUUAUUCCUAGGUAUUUUAUUCUUUUAGUUGUAAUUGUAAAUGAGAUUUUUUCUUAAUAUCUCUUUCUGCUAGCCCAUUGUUAGUGUAAGGAAACACAACUAAUUUUUGUAUGUUGUUUUUCACCCUGCAAAUGUACUGUAUUCAUUUAUUAUUUCUAAUAAUUUUUGGUGGAGUUUUUUGGGGGGUUUAUAUGUAAAAUUAUUUUACGCACAAAUGGUGACAGCUUUCUUCCCUUCAAUUUGUAUUUUUAAUUUUUUUUUUCCUAAUUGCUCUGGCUAGGAUUUCCACUAUUAUAUUAAAUAACAGUGGUGAGAGUAUGCAUCCUUCCUUAUCCCUGAUCACAGAUGGAUAGCUUUGUUUUCCACAGACUGAGGAUAAUGUUAGACUUGGAUUUGCCAUGUAUGACCUUUAUUAUGUUGAGGUAGAUUCCUUUUUUACCUAUUUUGUUGAGAUUUUUUAUUAUAAAUGGAUAUCGAAUCUUGUUAAAUGCUUUCUCUGCAUCUAUUGAAACAAUCACAUAAUUUUUAUCUUUCAUGUUGUUAAUGUAGUAUAUUACAUUGCUGUUAGAUUAUGUAAUUGUGGUGUAUUACAUUGAUUGAUUUGUGGAUGUUGUACCAUCCUUACCUCCAUUUGGACAACAUAGAUGGAACUUGAGGGCAUUAUACGAAGUGAAAUGAAUCAGAGGGAGAAAGAUAUAUACUGUAUGAUUUCACUCAUACAUUAAAUAUUUUUUAAAAGUAAAAUCAAAUUAGUGAACAAGCCGAACCAAACAAAAAUAAACAUGUAGACAGAGAAUAGAGUAGUGGUUACUAGGGGAAGAGAGGUAGGGGAAAAAAAAUGGGUAAAGGAAAUCAACUGUAUGGUGAGGAGUGGAAACUGCAGUAUAUAUAGAAGUCAAAAAUAUAAUGUUGUACACAUGAAACUUACAUAAUGUUAUAAAGUUACUUCAAUUUUUAAAAUGCAAGAGGCAUAUAUUAAAAGGGAAAAAAAAUGUUAGGAAGUCAUUACCCUAAAAGUCAAGAUAGUGGUUAUUCGAGGGAGGAGGAAGGGGAUUAUGACCAGGAAAUCAAAAGGCAAAAAUUUUACUUCUUUACCUGGUACAGAUUGGAAGGGUGUCUACUGUAUAAUAAUUCAUUAAGUCAGGCAUUUGAUUGUAUGUCUUUUUGUAUCUCAUUGCUUAUCCAUUCCAAACACAAUAAUUUGCAUCUAUUUACCCCAAAUUCCAAGUCCAUCCCACUCCCUCCCCCUCGCCCUUGGCAACCAAUGAACCACAAGUCUUUUCUCCUUGUCCAUGAUUUUCUUUUCUGUGGAAAGCUUCAUUUGUGCCAUAUAUUAAAUUCCAGCUAUAGUGAUAUCACAUGGUAUUUGAAUCUCUCUUUCUGACUUACUUCACUUAGUAUGAGAGUCUCUAGUUCCACACAUGUUGCUGCAAAUGCCAUUAUUUCUAUUUAAUCAUGUUUUUAGUUGAAGUUAUCUGCACAUGAUACAAAGUUCAGAAUGAAUAAAAGGGUAGUAUUCCAUUGUGAUAUAUACCACAAUAUACCAUCUGUUGAUGGAAAUUUAUGUUGUUUCCACGUCUUGGCUAUUGUGAAUAGUGUUGCAAUGAACAUAGUGGUGCAUGUAUCUUUUUCAAUGAAAGUUUUGUCCAGAUAUAUGCCCAAGAGGGGGAUUGCUGGGUCAUAUGGUAGUUCUAUAUGCAGUUUUCUGAGGUGCCUCCAUACUAUUUCCUAUAGUGGCUGAACCAAUUUACAUUCCCAUCAACAGUAUAGGAGGGUACCCUUUUUUCAGUACCCUCUCAAGCAUUUCUUAUUUGUUGACUUAUGGCAUUCUGAUAGGAGUGAGGUGGUAUAUAAGUAUAUAUGUGUAUAUCAUUUAUAUAUCAUUUGUAAUUUAUAUACAUGUAGCAUAUCAUAUCAUACCAUUUGUGUCAUCUAUAUCUUUCUCCCUUGUCACUCCCUACUCCAGCCCCUGGCCCUCCUUGCCUUGUUUGCUCUGUUUUAUUUUUCUCCAUACACUUAAUACCACCUGACACAUUGACUAUUUAUUUGAUUAUUUAUUCAUUAUAUAUCUUCUUUCACAGACAUAUAAAAUAUUCUGUGUCAAAAUUUAAUCUUUUUUCUUCUAGGUAAAUGAUUGUUGAUGAAAUGGUAUUAAGAUAUAUAAGGAAAUUGCAGAUAUGAAGUUUCUAGUCUUUAUAGUUGAAGCAGAAAUAACUCAUUACAAACAGAAUCAGAAGGGUAAAAAGAUUACAAUGAUGGGGAUGAUGAUAGUGACAACAUUUAUUUGCUCAUCUUUUACUCAGCAUUGUCAUUAAGUGUUUGCAAAGCUUCAUUUAAUUCUCCCUCAACCAUAACAUGAAGAUCCUAUUAUUAUCUCAAUUUUAUAGAUAAGGAAACUGAAACUUUAAAGAGUUAGAUAACUUGCCUGAAGAUGCACAGCUGGUAAAUGUAGUAGCUAUGAUUUUUAUCCCAUAUCUGUCUCCAGAGUUGAUAUUGCUAUUAGUCUAACAUUGUCAGGUUAAAGACAUUGCUAUGCUAGGGUCUGCCAAAACAAAAUACAAUACCAAAGAAAGACUGCCUAAA
rnacentral:lncRNA from 1 species